UACGGAAGAUGCGAGCGUUAUCCGGAUUUAUUGGGUUUAAAGGGAGCGUAGGCGGCUUUUUAAGCCGGCGGUCAAAUGUCAUGGCCCAACCUUGGCAUGCCGUUGGAACUGGGGAGCUUGAAUACACACAAGGAUGGUGGAAUUCGUCGUGUAGCGGUGAAAUGCUUAGAUAUGACGAAGAACUCCGAUUGCGAAGGCAGCCAUCUGGGGUGCGAUUGACGCUGAGGCUCGAAAGUGCGGGUAUCAAACA
rnacentral:rRNA from 1 species